rnacentral:rRNA from 1 species
CGAGCACGCGCGUGUGGCAUAUCAAUAAGCGGAGGAAAAGAAACUAACAAGGAUUCCCUUAGUAACGGCGAGUGAAGCGGGAAGAGCUCAAAUUUGAAAUCUUCAAGGUUCUACCUUGACGAAUUGUAGUUUAUAGAAGUGUUUUCUGUUAGUGGAGUGGCAAAAGUUCUUUGGAAUAGGACAUCAUAGAGGGUGAGAAUCCCGUAUUUGGUCAUUCUUUCUAGCGUUGUGAUACACUUUCAACGAGUCGGAUUGUUUGGGAAUGCAGUCCAAAAUGGGUGGUAAAUUUCAUCUAAAGCUAAAUAUUGGCGAGAGACCGAUAGCGAACAAGUACCGUGAGGGAAAGAUGAAAAGAACUUUGAAAAGAGAGUUAAACAGUACGUGAAAUUGUCAAAAGGGAAGCGUUUGACACCAGUGUUGUUUUUCCGAAAAUCAAUUACGAAUGUUUUGAUUUUUGAGGAGUUAUGACUUCAUCGGCUUGCUCCUUUCUUUAUGAAACUUUCUUAAUGCACUUAUCGGUUAACAAGUCAACAUCAAUUUCUUUUGUUGUAAAAGGGUAUGAGGAAGGUGGCUUUCUUUUCGGAGAAAGUGUUUAUAGCCUUGUGCCUCUGCAAUCGGAGAGAUUGAGGUCUGCAGCGUAGAUCCUUCGGGGUUAGAUACGUUUGUGCUAAGUUAUAGCUUUUCAUAGACAACUUGUUGACUAUGUUUAGUCUUGUAGCUUACUCGCUGACGCUAUUUUACCUACGCUUAGGAUGUUGAGCGCAUGUCUCUCUCU